GUGCUUGCUUCAGCAGCACAUAUACUAAAAUAGGAAUGAAACAGAGAAGAUUAACAUGGCCCCAGUGCAAUGAUGACAUGUAAAUUCACAAAGCAUUCUACAGUUUU
rnacentral:snRNA from 1 species